rnacentral:tRNA from 1 species
GCCGAAGUAGCUCAGUUGGUAGAGCAUAGCUUUCGUAAAGCUGGGGUCGGGAGUUCGAUCCUCCCCUUCGGCU